ACAACGUUCGGACCGUCGGUCUACCGAGCAAUAUCACCCACUCGGUGGAAGAUCUUCCUUUCAUUGU
rnacentral:pre_miRNA from 1 species